rnacentral:rRNA from 1 species
ACGGGUGCGUAACGCGUAUGCAACCUGCCUGACACAGGGGGAUAAUCCGAAGAAAUUUGGUCUAAUACCCCAUAAUACCGAUAUAGGCAUCUAUGUUGGUUGAAAGCUUUGGUGGUGUCAGAUGGGCAUGCGUUGUAUUAGCUAGUUGGUGAGGUAACGGCUCACCAAGGCGACGAUACAUAGGGGGACUGAGAGGCUAACCCCCCACACUGGUACUGAGACACGGACCAGACUCCUACGGGAGGCAGCAUG